rnacentral:rRNA from 1 species
UACGUAGGAGGCGAGCGUUGUCCGGAGUUACUGGGCGUAAAGCGCACGCAGGCGGUCUCUUAAGUCUGUAGGGACAGGGCACAGCUCAACUGUGUCAGGCUUACGGAAACUGGGAGACUUGAGGGCUUCAGAGGGAUGGGGAAUUCCGGGUGGAGUGGUGAAAUGCGUAGAGAUCCGGAAGAACACCAAAGGCGAAGGCACCAUCCUGGGGAGUCACUGACGCUCGGGUGCGAAAGCCAGGGGAGCGAACGGG